CAUUUUAGUCUGCAAUUAGAGAAUUUCGCAGACUUUUGGUAAUAUAAGUGUUACAAACGAUGGAUGGAUCCGUUGAACCUUACAUGAGAACUUCUUUUACGGAUUGUCUAAAUUAGCAAGAGUGAACGUGGAGCCAGCGGGAGAAGUACAUAAGCACUGAGCGAGCCUUUGGGGGAAACAAAGCCAAAGCAAGUCUACUAAAUUGAAAUGGGUUCGCUCUUUAGCUUAGGUUCAGUUCUUUAUGCUUUUAGUAAAUUAGCUUAACUGAAAUUGUGAAUGUAGGAGAUUUGCUGCUCUUAUUAGUACUCUCUAUGGCAUGUCGAUGACAGCGUAUUUCAUUUAGCUCUUGAUUAUGUACAGGGUAUAUACCGGCCUUAUUAGUACUCUC